rnacentral:rRNA from 1 species
GAUGAACGCUGGCGGCGUGCCUAAUACAUGCAAGUCGAGCGAACAGACGAGGAGCUUGCUCCUCUGACGUUAGCGCCGGACGGGUGAGUAACACGUGGAUAAACUACCUAUAAGACUGGGAUAACUUUGGGAAACCGGAGCUCAUAGCGGAUAAUAUAUUGAACCGCAUGGUUCAAUAGUGAAAGACGGUUUUGCUGCCACUUAUAGAUGGAUCCGCGCCGCAUUAUCUAGUUGGUAAGGCAACGGCUUACCAAGGCAUGGAUGCGUAGCCGACCUGAGAGCGAGUUCAGCCAGACUGUAACUGAGACUCGGCCCCGACUCCGACGGGAAGCAGCGGUACGGAAUCUUGCGGAAGGGAGCAAUGCGUGAUGGAGCGACAUCGCGGGAGGGCUGAAGGUGUUCUGAACGUAGAACUCUGUUAUUAGGGAAGUACAAAUGUUUUAUUACCUGUGAACGUCUUGACGGUACCCAGCCAGAAAGCCACGGCUAACUUCGUG